rnacentral:rRNA from 1 species
GUGGGGAAUUUUGGACAAUGGGCGAAAGCCUGAUCCAGCCAUGCCGCGUGUGUGAAGAAGGUCUUCGGAUUGUAAAGCACUUUAAGUUGGGAGGAAGGGCAGUAAGUUAAUACCUUGCUGUUUUGACGUUACCGACAGAAUAAGCACCGGCUAACUUCGUGCCAGCAGCCGCGGUAAUACGAAGGGUGCAAGCGUUAAUCGGAAUUACUGGGCGUAAAGCGCGCGUAGGUGGUUCGUUAAGUUGGAUGUGAAAGCCCCGGGCUCAACCUGGGAACUGCAUCCAAAACUGGCGAGCUAGAGUACGGUAGAGGGUGGUGGAAUUUCCUGUGUAGCGGUGAAAUGCGUAGAUAUAGGAAGGAACACCAGUGGCGAAGGCGACCACCUGGACUGAUACUGACACUGAGGUGCGAAAGCGUGGGGAGCAAACAGGAUUAGAUACCCCAGUAGUCC